GACGAACGCUGGCGGCGUGCUUAACACAUGCAAGUCGAACGGAAAGGCCCUGCUUUUGUGGGGUGCUCGAGUGGCGAACGGGUGAGUAACACGUGAGUAACCUGCCCUUCACUUUGGGAUAACUUCAGGAAACUGGGGCUAAUACCGGAUAGGAGCUCCUGCUGCAUGGUGGGGGUUGGAAAGUUUCGGCGGUUGGGGAUGGACUCGCGGCUUAUCAGCUUGUUGGUGGGGUAGUGGCUUACCAAGGGUUUGACGGGUAGCCGGCCUGAGAGGGUGACCGGCCACAUUGGGACUGAGAUACGGCCCAGACUCCUACGGGAGGCAGCAGUGGGGAAUAUUGCACAAUGGGCGGAAGCCUGAUGCAGCAACGCCGCGUGCGGGAUGACGGCCUUCGGGUUGUAAACCGCUUUCGCCUGUGACGAAGCGUGAGUGACGGUAAUGGGUAAAGAAGCACCGGCUAACUACGUG
rnacentral:rRNA from 1 species